UUCACUUUGUAUUAUUUGAAACAUCAUGCAAAAGCUCUAACUUAUGGACCAUUUGACUAGAAUAUCCUAAUUAAACUCACAUCAUUUA